rnacentral:rRNA from 1 species
AUGACGACCCACUACUACUAUCUGUUGGCAGUGAGACUGCUGCUCAUAGCUGCGGCCGGCCGGCAAAAGCUUAGCAAGGCGGAGCCGGUGACACUGCCGGGGUGUCCCGACAGGUGCGGGGACGUGAGCAUCCCUUACCCCUUUGGCACCAAGGAUGGCUGCUUCCUGCCAGGCUUCCAAAUUAUCUGCAACGACACCUUCCAUCCGCCCCGCGCCUUCUUUCCUUAUGACCCUCCUAAUUGCAACGAGGACUCCUUGGAGGCCUCGAUCGACUGCCUAGUUUCGCAGCUCAACUCCAGAAAGCCGCUGAUCAUGACCAAGGAUAGCAUCUACAGCUUGAACGACAUAGAGGACUAUACUAUGCCUGGAAACAUGUCCUUCUCGCCGGUCGAGCUCACCGGCGUGUCCGUCGCGGAUGCGAAACUGCAGGUGCACGCUCCGUUCUGCUACGACUGCAAAUUGAACGAGACGCAUUACUCGUAUAGGGGGGAGAUUAGAAUAUCCUUCCCGUCCUUGUCACCCUUCUUCAUGACGGAGGAAAGCACCGUGUUGAUGGCCAUCGGGAAGCACACGAGCGCAAGUCAGUUAAUGGGGCCCCCUUGCGAAGCAGUCGUUACCUUCGACGACGCUGUCAACGGGAAAUGCUUGGGGCGGGGUUGCUGCCAGGUCCCCAUUCCGCCGCAAGACACCAGCAACCAAGUGACCAUCAACAGACGUUCGUCACUAGGCAUUACAAACUACAAAGAUGACUGCGUCUAUGGCAUGUUUGUGGACAAGUCCUGGUACAAAUUCACAUCGCUGGACCUCCACGGUGAUGUUUUCAUGCGGAAGAACAAGGCCAGAGGGGUGCCCGUUGUUGUAGACUUUGUCAUCGCCAACCAUUCGUGUCCACGGCCUGGCCAACCGGCCCCCAAGGGAUACGCGUGCGCCGGUGACAACACCAUGUGCGUCCAAGUACCCUUGGACCUGAUGGCCGAUGGCUACGCGGCCACGGGGUACACGUGCAGGUGCUCGCAAGGGUACCAAGGCAACCCAUACAUUCCAAAUGGCUGCCGAGACAUUGAUGAGUGUAAGAAUCCAGAUUUGUAUCCUUGCCACGGGAAAUGCCACAACACGGAAGGAGGAUACAAAUGUGCUUGCCCUGCCGGAACAAAGGGCAACGCCAAACUUGACCAUUGCACGGAAAUGUUUCCCCUGCCAGCGAAGCUGGGCGUAGCUGCAAUAGGAGGCCUUUUUGUCAUAGCACUUGUCGCGUUCAUUCUCCUUCUUCGUAGACAAAAGAGGAAGAUGAGACAACUUUAUAUGAAAAAUGGAGGACCUGCACUAGAAAAGGCAAACAAUAUAAAGAUUUACACAAGGGAGGAGCUCAAGCCAAUUUUGAAGUGUGCCAAUUUUAUAGGAAAAGGCUGCUUUGGUGAAGUUUACAAGGGUUAUCUUGAUAACCAACUAGUUGCAGUAAAGAAGCCUGUUACCGACAGUGUGGCACAUAACGAGCAAUUUGCAAACGAAGUCAUUAUUCAGUCUCAAGUCAUCCACAAGAACAUUGUCAGGCUCAUAGGUUGUUGCCUAGAAGUUGACAUCCCAAUGCUAGUCUAUGAGUUCCUCUCCAAAGGUAGCCUUGAUGACACUCUUCACAGCAACAACAAGGUGCCUCUUGAUCUUGAUGUGCGUUUAAAUAUUGCCGCAGAAUCAGCGGAAGGUCUAGCCUACAUGCAUUCAAAAACCGGCAAAAGAAUUCUGCAUGGUGAUGUGAAACCAGCAAAUAUACUCUUGGAUGAUGAUUAUGUACCAAAAAUAUCUGACUUUGGUAUAUCAAGGAUGAUUGCAAGGGAUAAAGAACACACCACAUCUGUCAUUGGUGAUAGGACUUACAUGGAUCCAGUGUAUCUACAAACUGGAUUACUGACGGAAAAGAGUGAUGUCUACAGUUUUGGAGUACUACUCUUGGAACUUGUUAGCAGGAGGAAGGCCACUUAUUCCGACCAUAACAGCUUAGUGAGGAAUUUUGUUGAGGCUCACAAAAAAGAUGAGAUGCCAAUCGAGCUGUUUGACAAGGAACUUGUAGAACCAGGAGAUUUGGAGCUUCUUGGUAGCCUUGCAAGGGUUGCCGUGGAAUGCCUUAAUCUUGAUGUGGAUGAAAGACCAGCAAUGACAGAUGUUGCAGAGCGCCUUCUCAUGUUGAAGAGAUCACGUAAGUAG